rnacentral:rRNA from 1 species
AGUGAACGCUGGCGGUAGGCCUAACACAUGCAAGUCGAACGGCAGCACAGUAAGAGCUUGCUCUUACGGGUGGCGAGUGGCGGACGGGUGAGGAAUACAUCGGAAUCUACUUUUUCGUGGGGGAUAACGUAGGGAAACUUACGCUAAUACCGCAUACGACCUACGGGUGAAAGCAGGGGAUCUUCGGACCUUGCGCGAUUGAAUGAGCCGAUGUCGGAUUAGCUAGUUGGCGGGGUAAAGGCCCACCAAGGCGACGCUCCGUAGCUGGUCUGAGAGGAUGAUCGGCCACACUGGAACUGAGACACGGUCCAGACUCCUACGGGAGGCAGCAGUGGGGAAUAUUGGGCAAUGGGCGCAAGCCUGAUCCAGCCAUGCCGCGUGAGUGAAGAAGGCCUUCGGAUUGUAAAGCCCUUUUGUUGGGAAAGAAAAGCAGCAGGUUAAUACCCCGCUGUUCUGACGGUACCCAAAGAAUAAGCACCGGCUAACUUCGUG